AGGAACUGGUGAGAUGGGCUGCAUAUGGAGAUGAUAGAAAGUGCUGCAGCCCUGUGCCAGCCAAUGGUAGAGGAGAGCAGGAUGUUGUGCAGAGCUGAGACAGAGGUCCAGAUGAGAACACAAGCACACGAUGGAUGCUCCUGGCUGGUGCUGCACAGCUUGGGAGGUUCUGCUAGCUCGGCCUGCCUAGGGAGAGCACAGAAAGAGCUGCAGCCCUGUGCCAGCCACUGGUAGAGGAGAGCAGGAUGGUGUACAGAGCUGUGUCUUGGAAAGCCAGAGGCCCAGAGGAGAACACGUCCUGACCAUGGAUCCUCCUGACCUAUGCUGGAGAGAUGUUCCUCUUUCAACAUGGACAUCAGUACAGAGCAGUUUAAUCAAACUAACAGCAUUAUUGCUGCAAUGUGGUUUCCAGCAACUGGCAACUGCCACUGUGAUGCCAUGAGCAUGUCACAGUGGCUGGAAUGCUGACAGAUCCAUGUGUCACAUAGGUAUUGGUGAGAUGGUCUGCAUAGGGAGAUGAUAGAAAGAGCUGCAGCCCUGUGCCAGCCACUGGUAGAGGAGAGCAGGAUGGUGUACAGAGCUGAGGUAAGAGGGCAGGACAGAGGGCAUGGCAGCGUUGGCUGUUUGAAACGCCAGAAUGAUAGGAGUGGUUGUGAUGCAACUGAUUUUGUGUCCGCCUCCUUUGUCUUGGAAAGCCAGAGGCCCAGAGGAGAACAGGACCAGACCAUGGCACCUCGUGUCCUGUGCUGCGUUGCUGGAGAGAUGUUCAGUUUCGACAUGCACAUCUGUACAAAGAUAUGAACUGGUGAGAUGGGCUGCAUAGGGAGAUCAUAGAAAGUGCUGCAGCCCUGUGCCAGCCAAUGGUAGAGGAGAGCAGGAUGUUGUGCAGAGCUGAGACAGAGGUCCAGAUGAGAACACAAGCACACGAUGGAUGCUCCUGCCUGGUGCUGCACAGCUUGGGAGGUUCUGUUGGCACGGCCUGCCUAGGGAGAGCACAGAAAGAGCUGCAGCCCUGUGCCAGCCAAUGGUAAUGGAGAGCAGGAUCGUGUACAGAGCUGUGAGGCCCAGUGGAGAACACGUCCUGACCAUGGAUCCUCCUGACCUAUGCUGGAGAGAUGUUCCUUUUUCAACAUGGACAUCAGUAUUGGUGAGAUGGUCUGCAUAGGGAGAUGAUAGAAAGUGCUGCAGCCCUAUGCCAGACUGGUUCAGGGCAAGGAGGAUGGUGUGCUGAGGUAGAGGUACGAGGUCAGGUCAGAGGGCACUGCAGGGUUGCUCUUUAAAUCGACAGGAUGAACGGAGUGUUUGUGAUGCAUCUUAUUUUGUGUCCUCAUCCUUUGUCUUGGAGAGCCAGAUUCCUAGGUUUCAACAUGACCAGACUCUGUUACCUCCUGUCCUCUGCUGCAUUCUUCCGUCUCCCACGCAGAUUGCUAGACAUGAGGCACAUUCAUUUUGUUCGCUUAAUGUGAAGCUCAGUUCCAUUCUGCUGAAUAAGUCAUGUCACUUAAUCAGUCUAAUGCUGAUGUUCAGGAUCUAAUAAUCUGUAGCUUUGUAGUCAAAAUCCAGCUGCAGAAAUACCUGAAAAUCACAAUUUGCUGGAUAUCAUGUUGCUGGGAAUAAUCUACUAGUGGUACUUGUGUUUGCAAGUCAGUCCUUUUUGUGUUGAAAUUUUUGCUGCUAUUAUGACAUACGGCAAAAGGAAACUGUCUUAAUAUUAUAAAUUCAAAAAGCUCUCUUUAAUGAUAACUAUUGUAAAAUGUGGAAAACCAGUAACGCUGUGUUUUCUUGCCAAAUGAAUGAUUUGCAUCAUCUUAUGUUGUGGCACAUGUUUUAUCUAUUGUAUAUCCAGCAGAAACUACCUGGAGCCAAACAGCAGCAAAAACAAACUUUCAGUCUGCACUUCAGAAAUAUUUAGUCAGGAUGCUCUCUUUGAAGAUGCUUUUGGACUAUAUGUAGAGUUUAUGAGAUGUUUCAGUAAUGUGACAUGACCCUGGAGGCAAUACAAGAAACAUAAUGCAAGAGAUUGUCUUCUGCCAGAUGGAGUUGUGCCUUACUUGCAGAUAUUUUCAAGUCUGAUUAUGAAAGACUAAAUUAAUCUAGGGAUAUUUGUCUAGCUUUGGGACAGAAAUCAUUUGGUCAUUUUAAUACCUGUUGAUUGCUUUUUUUUUUUUUUUUUCCUCUUUUUUUCCCCCUCAUUCUAUUUGUGUUUAUUUUAAAUGUAAUUCAGGGAGAAAUGCAUUCCAUAAGAAGAUGCAGGUAUAUAAAUUAACAUAACAGAGCUUCAGUUCUCUAGAUUCUAUGAGUUAUCUGUCAGUCCCAAAGACUACCAUAAUAUGUGAUACUGUGGACUGUGAAUUGAUAAAAUCAAGGAAAAAACCUAUUUAAUGUGGGUAAGUAAUAGCAUUGUGUCAGGGCAAAAUGGAAUGAGGCAUACUGGUAAAGUAACCUUACAAAGAAUUGUAGAGGAUUCGUACCAGUGCUGGGAAGGACUACAGGAGUAAUAAAUAGAAAAUAUGACCAGUGGUGAUGAGGGCUGACAACAGGAUACAGCUGGAAACAUUUUCCUUUUAAUAAACAGAUAAUUAAUGAGGAGGAGUAGGCCUUGAUAGUCUAUGAAAAUUGGAAAAGCUUCUGUUUUAUGCAAAAGAAAACUAUUGGGAACUUUGAAAUCAUUGAACUGUUUCUUCUAUUCUUGAGGCCAGAUGAAAAGAUGUGGAGAAAUUGACAUGAGAGAGCCCUAGGUGAGCAUGUUAGUUAUGCAAAUAGUUACUUAUGCAGAGGUAAUCUGCAAGGAGUUUAGGUAUAGGUUGGAUGUGAGAAAAGGUAUGGGAAUCCAAACCAGCUAAAAUGAUAGGUGAAGGUAAAGUGUACAAUUGAAGUGUUAUGAAGAAAGGAAAUGAAGGAGAAGAUUUACAGGGAGAAAAUGAGGCUUGUGCUGGGCUACCAUUCAGAGUAAACUCCUCCUGGAGAUCAAUAACUGCCUGGCAGAGGACUGCACUAAACUAAUUUGAAAAAAAUUACAGUUAGUUUAAUCAGAAGGAUUGAGAUCAGUGAAUUUUUAGCAUAAGGAACACUGCUGAGUUCUGUGUAGUCUGUGGUGAAAUUUAUCAGAGAUGAGAGGCAGUGAAAGAGGAACAAGAGGAUCAAGGACAGCAUCUCCUUAGCAAGAGACAAUACUAUGAAGUACCUUUUAAAACAUACAAGAAGAGAGAUUUCUGGGGAACUAGAUGAAGCUCUCAUCAACAUCCAAAUCUGGAAUAGUACAGGUAACCAAGUCAAGAAGAAGAAAUAGGAGAACAAGUAAGAAACACUGCUUCUGGCUUCUCAUAAGAAGUUGGUUGAGUGUGUUUUGAUGAGAAUUAUUUUCUUGGCAGUAGAAUGAAAUGCUUUAGUUAUAUAAAGUAUUUGUAAAGUUUAUGUCUCUGAUGGAAGAGAAAAAGGAAACAGGUUGAGGGUCAAGUUGAUGCCUAAAAUUAAAUCUGUACUUGACUAUAGUAGUUUGCAUCAUAGCUUAGUUGAGGAAAAUCCUAUUUUUAGAAACACUUAUAUAUACAAGCAUAGAAGAGAUCUACAUGAUUUGCUUUAGAAUGUGGAGCUGACACAAACAAAUGCUGUGAAUAAUUCACAAAAUUUAUGCUCUUCACAAAGAGAAAUAGGAAGCAAGUAAUAUAUAUCUUCCACAUUGCCUUUGCAAGGCCUUUUGGCUUACAGGGUAAACUCAUUUCCUUUUCCUGCCAAAAAUGCAUAUCCAUGCAUGUCAAGAAAAAGUUUUAUCCCUGAUACACCAACAUUCAGUAUCUGCUUGUCACAAAAUCUGCAAAGUCACUUCAUAUAUUUACACCAAAUUUUGUUUUCUGGCAUUGUACAACUUCUCCUCACUUCAAUGGUUUCUAAGAUGAUCAUGUUUUGAAUAUUGUACAGAAAAAUCUAGUGAGUGUAUUCUUUGGGCACAAAGUGUAUUUAAUCAGUGUAUAUUCUGAAGUACUAGUAAUUAGUGUGUCAGUGCACAGAAGAAUUUGAAAUACUAAAUACAUGCUGAAGCUUAUCAUUAACUAAAUUACUUCAGUGACACUGGUGCAAGUUUGUUUCCAUUUUAACUACCAGGGCAUGCUAUGUUUGGUGCAAACUAAUGAUAUAGUUGCAUUUGGAAAAAAAAGUAAAAACUCAUUUUUCUUAUUUUAAUGAUUUCAACCAAGGCAUACAAGCAGUUUUU